rnacentral:ncRNA from 2 species
CUGUUCCACGCUGGAACAGGUUCCAUUUUUAAAAGUGGAUUCAAAGGGAAUAUGGUGCAAGCCCAUAACUGCCCCCGCAACUGUAAACCGGUAGCGGCCUUCAGGUUUUAUAACAGCCACUGACUUUGUUUUCAGGUCGGGAAGGUGAAGGCUAGAGCGAUGACCGGUAAGUCAGGAGACCUGCCUGUACCCGUCACUUUCG